CAGCCGCCGCGGUAAUACGGGGGGGGCAAGUGUUAUUCGGAAUGACUGGGCGUAAAGGGCACGUAGGCGGUGAAAAGGGUGGAAAGUGAAAGUCGCCAAAACACUGGCGGGGUGCUUUCUUGACCAUUUCACUUGAGUGAGAUAGGGGAGAGUGGAAUUUCGUGUGGAGGGAUCAAAUCCUAAGAUAUACGAAGGAACGCCAACCGCGAAGGCAGCUCUCUGGGUCCCCACUGACGCUGGGGUGCGAAAGCAUGGGGAGCAAACAGGAUCAGAUACCCCGGUAGUCCCUGUCUCUUAUACA
rnacentral:rRNA from 1 species